rnacentral:lncRNA from 13 species
GUUUCAUCAAAGCCCAUUUUAAAAGGAGACUAUAUGGCAAAUAAUUUUUUUUGCUGUACUUUAUGUAAAUAAUCAGGCCAAGAAGAAUAAGACUAAAGCUUAUUUUGUAAACAAAUCAGUCUUCCCAUGAUUUGCUUUUAGUAAAAAUGGGAGUUUAGAGAGAGAAAAAUUAUGUUUCAAGAACAAUGGUACACCUGUUAUUAGAUUCUAGUCUUAUCAAUUGCUUUUGAGGUUUUUUUUUCCCCUGCAAUUUAGACUGACCCUGCUUAUCCUGUGACCAACCAGUGAUCUCUGGCUGCAGCUCAGAAGAAACAAGAGGAAUGGGAUAUCAAGCUCCAGAUGAUUCUCAGUGAGGAAUACCAUCCUCUUGAUAUUCAGGAGUCACCCUUCUAAAGAGGAACCCUAGACUGCUCAUCAGUGGGACACAACAGAGGCAAAAUUCUGCUCCUGUCUCCCUUGGACCUGGCUGAAUACUGCUUUCACCAACCCACAGAGCCCCCUGCCCUCACAGCUAGCAAGAGGCCAAGACUCACAGAACCACCACCACUGCCCAUCCAUCAGCAGGAGACUAUGGAAAUGAUGUCAGACAAAAAGCAAAUUUGAGUGAUUUUCUUGAGUUCAAUAUGGGUUAUAAAGCAGUGGAGACAACUCACACCAUCAACAACAUAUUUUGCCCAGGAACUGCUAACAAAUGUGCAGUGCAGUGGUGGUU